GGGGGGGGGGGGGGGGGGGGGGGGGGGGGGGGGGGCGGGGGGGGGGGGGGGGGGGGGGGGGCUGGGGCGUUGGCGGCGGAGGGGGGAGGAACACGGGGAGAACCGGCCUAUAAGACUGGGAUAACGGCGGGAAACCGGAGCUAAUACCGGAUAACAUGUUGAACCGCAUGGGUCAACAGGGAAAGAAGGUCUUGCUGGCACUUAUAGAUGGGUCCGCGCCGCAUUAGUGAGUUGGGAAGGUAACGGCUUACCAAGGCAAGGAUGCGUAGCCGACCUGAGGGGGUGAUCGGCCCCACUGGACCUGAGACACGGUCCAGACUCCUACGGGAGGCAGCAGUAGGGAAUCUUCCGCAAUGGGCGAAAGCCUGACGGAGCAACGCCGCGUGAGUGAAGAAGGUCUUCGGAUCGUAAAACUCUGUUAUUAGGGAAGAACAAAUGUGUAAGUAACUAUGCACGUCUUGACGGUACCUAAUCAGAAAGCCACGGCUAACUACGUG
rnacentral:rRNA from 1 species